AGGGUUCGAUUCUGGCUCAGGAUGAACGCUGGCGGCGUGCCUAAUACAUGCAAGUCGAACGCAUCACUUCGGUGAUGAGUGGCGAACGGGUGAGUAAUACAUAAGUAACCUGCCCUCUUGAGGGGGAUAACUAUUGGAAACGAUAGCUAAGACCGCAUAGGCAUGGACAUCGCAUGAUGACCAUGUUAAAUAUCCCACGGGAUAGCGAGAGGAUGGACUUAUGGCGCAUUAGCUAGUUGGUGAGGUAGAGGCUCACCAAGGCGACGAUGCGUAGCCGGCCUGAGAGGGCGGACGGCCACACUGGGACUGAGACACGGCCCAG
rnacentral:rRNA from 1 species